UUUCCCAGUUUUUAACUUGGGGAUGGUGCUUUCAUUACUUUCUUUUGUUACUUGCAUUAAGCCUUUCAACAACCCUGUCUGGUUGGGCUUUUUAUCCCUAUUUUAGAGGAAAUAAGUUUCCAGAAAGUGAUUGGCCCGGGGUCAGUUAGCCAGCAAUCACCCCAAUCUGUUCAACAAGGCCCAGGGUGAGGCCAGGAGUGUGACUUGUCUGGGGCUGAGCCAGGAGCUGGCUUCCAGCUGGCACCAUGGGCUCCUGUGGCCAGGUACUUGACAGGGCAGGGCAGGGGGUUAAACGGGUCUGAAACAUGUGUCCACAAAAAAUCUCCAAAUAUGUACAGGCCACCAUCUACCACAAAGGAGGGAUUUGAGAAUGUAGAGGAGAAGGACCUAAUAUUCAUUGAGCAUCCCUGUAAGCCAGGAGCUGGGCUUUGCGUGCAUUGCUUUAGUUUAAGUCCAAAAUAACAACAACGGUUUGACGAAGAUGUCAUUAAUCCCCAUCUGACUGUGGCAAGGUGAAAGGACUUCCUAGCCUCGCACAGCCAGGUCAGGUGGAGUCUCUUCUUUCUGACAUUUGCUCAAUACACCUAGGCCUUCCUCUGGCCUGGGAUGUGGAGCUUUCAUCCGCAAACUUGUCAAUCACUAGCGUUUGGGAAAAAUGAUCCAAACAAGAAAACCCUCACAAGUCUCACCAGGGUCAUUUUGUACAAAGUGAAACUCGGGAAAUUAAGAUGUCAUCGCACAGUCUUGCUGUUUCCACAGGCAAUGAUUGUAGCUACAAAUUUGUCCCAAAAUGCAGGCAAAUGGGCUUGGAGCAGUGAGGUCAUGAAGCUUAUUUACUGCUGCCAUGAUGAUAAUUUUAAUUUGCUAUUAAGAAAAUGAAGGGCUAGCAAGCGUUCAGGAUACAGAUGAUAUAGCAGUUUAGUUUUGGCUGUUCAGAGACUGGGAUGCAGGAACCUGAAAGAGAACCAGUGUGAGGUGGGAAAAGGAGAAUAGGCCUUACCAUCAAACUAGGAUUUAAUCUCUGCUCCACAAUUUCCUGGCUGUGUUACCUUCAGUACACGACGCCACCUCUCUGAGCCUCAGUCUCCUUAUCUGCAUCUCCUUAUCUGAAUCAUAACACCUACCUACUAGGUACAUUGGGUGGACUUCCAAAGAUGCUGGAUGUAAAGCUCCCAUAAAUGUUGGAUAUUAUUACUGUCAUUAUUAUUUAAAUAUACACUUAUGGAGUCACCAACAGAGCCAACCAUUUGACUUCCUGCCACUAAAAUAGCCAGAGGCCUGGCUGCACUGCUUAAUUUCAUCAAGAUGGUCUGGUGAGUCACAGCCUUAAUUAACUUUCCCAUGGUUUGAUCAGAGCAGAAAUCAGACUCUUGCAUUUCACCCACUCUUCCUGGCUCCAAAAAAGAUGGACGUGCACAUCCUUAUCCACCAUUCUGACUGUACAAAGACAAGAAAAUUAUCCAGUAGACACAGGAGUGCACGCACAGCCAGCCUGCAAGGCCACAGAGACAUCGCCACAGAGCAUUAGAGCAAGAGCCUGGAACCUAAUGAAAUUAUCUUCCCUCAGCCGAUCUGCCUGCCGCAGCUGCAAAUUGGGUCCCCUGUUUGUGUGCUUAUUCAACUGUGACCCCGUAGCCCUGGCAGGAUGAAUGGGGCCUCACAACCGAGGGUGGGGCGUCAGCCCAGGGGUGUCUUCCUUUAUGCAAAGCUCUUCUUUGAGGGGCUAUGGACAAACCACAUGGCUGGAGGUGAGCUUCAGAUCUGGGCUGCUUCCUGGACACAGAAAAUAAAGCAGGACAGGAGAUGCAGAGAGCAUGGAAUGCUCUUCACUACAGGCUCCGUGGAAGGAACUCGCAUCAGGCCAGCUGAGAAAGCCAGUUUGACAUUCACCUGUGGCAGACCUGGGUUUUGACUGAACCGCUUGCUCCUUGAGGCCCGAGGCCCUGAGGACUCAUCUCUAUAGCCCCUGCAUCUGGCCAGGACUUGGUUGCAGUAGAAAUGACUUCUGGCAACUGACAGGCUCCACGUUGAGUGUUCACACUGUGCCCAAUUCUGCCCUGAGCACUUUGCUUGGUUUCUCCACAACAAUAUUGUGAUCAGUAUAAUUACUGUUAUUCCCAUUUUAUAGAUGAGAAAAAUAGUAAUGGAGGAAAUGGAAGGAAAAAGGAUGGCCAUAAGUUGGAGGCAGGUGAAAGACCCAAAUUCAUGGAAGAGAAGUGAGUCACACAGGGAGCCAGUGGCAGAGCCACACCCCACAGAGCAAUCAACAUGCUCUACUCUGCAGACCUGCAACAGGGAGGGAAGCCAGACUCUGAUGCAAGAAGGAAAGACCAUGUGCUGGCUCAGUGUGUGCAGCCUGGACUGAGCUACUGAACUCUAAAUCCAAGGAUGACUAAUAGGCAGAAUGACAUUAAUACCAGACCUGAUGAAGACAGCACAAAAAGUAAAUCUCAACACAACCUCACAAUAUUAAUAAAGCAAAAAUUUUAAAUACA
rnacentral:lncRNA from 1 species